GGGGAUGUGGCUCAGUGGUAGAGUGCUUGCCUGGCAUGCAUGAAGCCCUGGGUUUGCUUCCUUA
rnacentral:tRNA from 1 species